UUGACAAUUGUGCCUUCAAGCUCCUAUAAAUUCAGUCCUUAACCAAUCAAGUUCUUCACAAGUAGCAAAAUAAGAGAUCAUUAAGUGUAAACAGAUAUCAAGGAAAUGGGAGGCUGCAUCCACCUUGCUAGGGCUAAUGGAGGAGGAGGAGGUGGUGGGGGUGGAGGAGGAGGCGGUGGCGGAGGCGGUGGCAGUAGCGGUGGUGGGGGAGGAGGAGGUGGCGGACGCUGAUGUGGAUUCUAUAAAUAAUUAAAGAUGUGUUUCGCAUAUGUACUAUUUUACAUUCAGUUGUCUGUUGUUUUCAGCCUCUCGUUUGCUCUUGUUAUUUUCCGAACUCAACGGUUAUCAGAUGUAUAAAUAUGGCAUGUGAACACCUUUGUGGCUUCCUGUUAUGCUAUGCUAUGAAUAACACAUGUUUGGGUUGUCUUUA